GACGUAGGGCGCGAGCGUUGUCCGGAAUUAUUGGGCGUAAAGAGCUCGUAUGCGGCUUGUUGCGUCGUCCGUGAAAUCCCGUGGCUCAACUGCGGGCUUGCGGACGAUACGGGCAGGCUAGAGUUCGGUAGGGGAGACUGGAAUUCCUGGUGUAGCGGUGAAAUGCGUAGAUAUCUGGAGGAACACCGGUGGCGAAGGCGGCAUCCUGGACCGACAUUGACGCUGAGGCGCGAAAGCCAGGGGAGCAAACGGG
rnacentral:rRNA from 1 species